rnacentral:rRNA from 1 species
UACGUAGGCAGCGAGCGUUGUUCGGAGUUACUGGGCGUAAAGGGUGUGUAGGCGGUUGUUUAAGUUUGGUGUGAAAUCUCCCGGCUCAACUGGGAGGGUGCGCCCGAAUACUGAAUGACUUCGAGUGCGGGAGAGGAAAGUGGAAUUCCUGGUGUAGCGGUGAAAUGCGUAGAUAUCAGGAGGAACACCGGUGGUGUAGACGGCUUUCUGGACCGUAACUGACGCUGAGACACGAAAAGCGUGGGGAGCAAACAGG